rnacentral:tRNA from 1 species
GCGGAUGUAGUUCAAUGGCAGAAUGAGAGCUUCCCAAGCUCUAGACGGGGGUUCGAUUCCCCUCAUCCGCUCCG